AAAUAGCCUGCGUUAGCGAUUGAAGUGACAUCCUUUUAUGAGUUUACGAAUAAAAGAUAUAACGGAAAGCGCGACCUGAA
rnacentral:sRNA from 1 species